rnacentral:snoRNA from 1 species
GGGCCUGGCGUCCCGCCCUCCCCGGGGAAACGUGAACCGGGGCUUCCUGCCAGGCCUACACCGGGGGAUGAAGAGCUUUUGCUUUGCUGACUGUGAUGAGCACGCCCUUCACUGACCCCGUAUCAGCUCU